rnacentral:rRNA from 1 species
UAGAGUUUGAUCCUGGCUCAGGACGAACGCUGGCGGCGUGCUUUAUACAUGCAAGUCGAACGAUGAAGUUCCUUCGGGAAUGGAUUAGUGGCGAACGGGUGAGGAACACGUGAGAAACCUGCCUUUCAUUCUGGGAUAACACCGGGAAACCGGUGCUAAUACCGGAUACUCCGUCUUGGCGGCAUCGCCGAGCCGGGAAAAAAUUUUGAUGAAAGAUGGUCUCGCGGCCUAUCAGCUAGUUGGUGAGGUAAUGGCUCACCAAGGCGACGACGGGUAGCCGGCCUGAGAGGGCGACCGGCCACACUGGGACUGAGACACGGCCCAGACUCCUACGGGAGGCAGCAGUAGGGAAUAUUGGGCAAUGGGCGCAAGCCUGACCCAGCGACGCCGCGUGAGGGAUGAAGGUCUUCGGAUUGUAAACCUCUUUCAGUAGGGAAGAAGCGAAAGUGACGGUACCUAAAGAAGAAGCACCGGCUAACUAUGUGCCAGCAGCCGCGGUAAUACAUAGG